AUGCCACCUCCGACCAGCACCUGGCCUGAUGUCUGUUUUUUCAGUGGUUAUUGGUUUCCUCUUGAGCAGAUGAACUACAUUGUCACAUUAAACUGCAGGGAGAUGUUCCCUCAGUCCUCUCUCGACAAAUCCAAUAGUACAGGUUCUCCGGCGCGCCAAGUAUUGCCGGCGGCGAUGCCUGCAUCAUGGCCCAUUGAGGAGAUCAUGCCCGUCAGUUGUAGGUUUUUCUGUUUGCACAUUUAUUUGUUUAGCUUUAAAUUUUGUUGUUUUCCACAUCUGAUACUUGUGUUAAUGCUUCUAUGUGUGCAUUUCUGA
rnacentral:rRNA from 1 species